rnacentral:lncRNA from 1 species
GAUUGGGAGUGAGCCGAGUCUCUUUGACCAGGCUAGAGCGCCAGCGCUCCUCUGACCCGGCACACUUUGGCAAAGUUGCAGUGGCCUGUUUGCUUAGGCACUGAAGUGGAUGACCCAAGUUAGGAUGACAACUUGCAGAGAACGCGGAUGAGACCUUCAGUUUGUGCCCACACUCAUUUGCAGCAACCCUAACAGAGAUUGCGAAGAUUUUCAAAGUGGGGCACCUCGAUUUCUCGAAUCUGUGGUGUGGCGAAUAUCCGUGUUCCUCCUGCUUAACUAGCCUGUUUGAAGGCACAGUUCAUUCUCGAGCAAUUCGUCACCUCCUGGGGGUCUUCUCUUCCCGUCUACAGGAGAGUGUGACUUCAGAAAGAACUUCGGAUUGGCCAAGGCCAUUAAAGCUGGUGAGCGACUUGGAAGUCAUUUAGAAAGGAACAGACCUUCAACCUCAAGCCUUUGCGGGCACUGGGAAAGUGUCUUCCCAAUCAAUCUGGCUUGCAGGCGGCAGGACCAACUCUGACCUGGCUUAUCUUGUACCCAUCCUAAAUACACCAAACUCAAGAGGUAGCCAGGGCCGCCUCAACACCGAGGCAGGUCUGAUUCUAUUUAUUCUAAAGACAGAGUUGGAGAUGGGCUACCAUUGGUGUUGAUUGAGAUGACAAGCAGUCACCUGAGCCCAUACAGCUGGUAAGUAGAACAGUACUGGAGAGAUGGCUCAGCAGUUAAGAGCACUGACUGCUCUUCCAGAGAUCCUGAGUUCAAUUCCCAGCAACCACAUGGUGGCUCACAAACAUCUGUAAUGAGAUCAGGUGCCCUCUUCUGGUGCCUUUGAAGACAAAGACAGUGUAGUGUCAUAUAUAUAAAAUAAAUAAAUCUUUAGAAAUUUGAAAAUAA